rnacentral:rRNA from 1 species
GUCCACGCCGUAAACGAUGGGUACUAGGCGUCGGGGGGAGCGACCCCCUCGGUGCCGUCGCUAACGCAGUAAGUACCCCGCCUGGGGAGUACGGUCGCAAGACUGAAACUCAAAGGAAUUGACGGGGGCCCGCACAAGCGGUGGAGCAUGUGGUUUAAUUCGAAGCAACGCGAAGAACCUUACCUGGGCUUGACAUGCUGGUGAAAGCCGGUGGAAACAUCGGCCCCUCUUCGGAGCACCAGCACAGGUGCUGCAUGGCUGUCGU